AUUUUCAGCGAUGGAUGUCUUGGCUCGCGCAACGAUGAAGGACGCAGUGAAAUGCGAAACGCAGUGUGAAUUGCAGAGUUCAGGGAACCAUCAGAUUUCUGAACGCAAAUGGCACCUU
rnacentral:rRNA from 1 species